rnacentral:sRNA from 1 species
GUGAGUAGCUGCGGCGGGGCUGACCCAUCCUGAGUGCCAAAGCUGGGGUUCUACUUGAGAUUUCCCUCGUGGUGCCAGGGUCCGGCGAGCAUCACGCCGAGGCCCAUUUUCCAGACGACCACGACGAGGCCGGGGUCACAUCCCUGGGACCCUGGCCUGACUGCCCGGGACCUGCUUUUCCGCGGAGGGUACCGGUAUCGGAGGCGGCCCCGAGUCGUGCUGGAUGUUACUGAGCAGCCGGUUCCUCUGGGAUCAUGGAGACGUAGCCUUUGCGCCCCUGGGGAAGCUGAUGCUGGAGAAUUUCAAGCUGGAGGGAACAGCGAGCCGCACUAAGAAGAAGACAGUGGUCAGUGUGAAGAAGCUGCUCCAGGACCUCGGUGGACACCAGCCCUGGGGGUGUCCCUGGGCUUACCUCAGCAACCGACAGCGCCGCUUCUCUAUCCUCGGGGGCCCCAUCCUGGGCACAUCGGUGGCGAGCCACUUGGCAGAGCUGCUGCACGAGGAGCUGGUGCUGCGGUGGGAGCAGCUGCUUCUGGAUGAGGCCUGCACUGGGGGCGCGCUAGCCUGGGUGCCUGGAAGGACACCCCAGUUCGGGCAGCUGGUCUACCCUGCUGGAGGCGCCCUGGACAGGCUGCAUUUCCAAGAGGUCGUUCUGACCCCAGGUGACAGUCCCCAAUUCCUUGGGAACCCUGGACGCAUCCAGCUCCAGGGACCUGUCCGGCAGGUGGUGACAUGCACCGUCCAGGGAGAAACUCUGCUGGCCGUCCGCUCUGACUACCACUGUGCCGUGUGGAAGUUUGGUAAACAGUGGCAGCCAACCCUUCUGCAGGCAAUGCAGGUGGAGAAAGGGGCCACAGGGAUCAGCCUCAGCCCUCACCUGCCUGGGGAGCUGGCCAUCUGCAGCCGCUCAGGAGCCGUCUGCCUGUGGAGCCCUGAGGAUGGGUAUUGCCGCUUCCUGUGAAACCCCCCACCCUAACAAACUGAACUCUGCCCUGUUCAGCAUGUCACGACCCUUGAGCCCCUUCCACCUCAGCCUGUCCCCCUGCCCAUGGCUUGCCUGUCUCCCCAAGGCUGCAGCAAAUCUACAAGGACCCUGAGACCCUUGUGUUCCGGGAGUCCUCUUCAUGGCGUUGGGCAGACUUCACUGCCCACCCUCGGCUGCUGACCGUUGGUGACCGCACUGGAGUGAAGAUGCUUGACACUCAGAUGGUCACUAGAGGCUGCUGCUUACCAGCGGCUCUGCUGGGCCCAGACAACCACCCAGCAAACCAGACUCAACCCUGGAUGAAUCUGUGGCCCAAACUCGCAGUGGAUCCCACAGUCGGUGCUAACAGUUCUCCCUCUACCUAGUGGACGAGCGCCUUCCCCUGGUGCCGAUGCUGAAGUGGAACCAUGGCCUCCCCUCCCCGCUCCUGCUGGCCCGACUGCUGCCUCCACCCCGGCCCAGCUGCGUGCAGCCCCUGCUCCUCGGAGGCCAGGGUGGGCAGCUGCAGCUGCUGCACCUGGCAGAAGGGGCGUCGGUGCCCCGCCUGGCAGGCCCCCCCCAGUCUCUUCCUUCCAGAACCGACUCCCUCCCUGCAUUUCCUCUGCUGGAGCCUAAGAUCCAGUGGCGGCUGCAGGAGCGCCUGAAAGCACCGACCAUAGGUCUGGCUGCCGUCGUCCCGCCCUUGCCCUCGGCGCCCACACCGGGCCUGGUGCUCUUCCAGCUCUCGGCGGCGGGAGAUGUCUUCUACCAGCAGCUCCGCCCCCAGGUGGACUCCAGCCUCCGCAGAGAUGCAGGGCCUCCCGGUGACACCCAACCUGACUGCCAUGCCCCCACAGCUUCCUGGACCUCCCAGGACACUGCCGGCUGCAGCCAGUGGCUGAAGGCCCUGCUAAAAGUGCCCCUGGCUCCUCCUGUGUGGACAGCACCCACCUUCACCCACCGCCAGCUGCUGGGCAGCAGAGAGCUGCGGAGGGAGGAAGAGGAAGGGCAGCGGCUGGGUGUGCUCCGCAAGGCCAUGGCCCAAGGGCGGCUCCUGCUGCAGAGAGACCUGGGCUCCCUCCCUGCAGCAGAGCCACCCCCUGCACCCGAGUCAGGCCCAGAGGACAAGCUCAGUGAGCGCCUGGGGGAAGCCUGGGCAGGCCGAGGGGCUGCCUGGUGGGAGAGGCAGCAGGGCAGGACCUCGGAGCCCGGGAGACAGACCAGGCGGCCCAAGCGCCGGACCCAGCUGUCCAGCAGCUUUUCGCUCAGUGGCCAUGUGGACCCCUCAGAGGACACCAGCCCCCGUCACAGCCCUGAGUGGCCACCUGCCGAUGCUCUGCCCCUCCCCCCCGUGACCCCGCCCUCCCAGGAGUUGACUCCGGAUGUGUGCACCCAGGGCGUCCCAUCAGGGCGGCGGCAGAUGCUCCGUGACUACAUGGCCAAGCUACCACCCCAAAGGGACACCCCAGGCUGUGCCGCCACACCCCCUUCCUCCCAGGCCUCCAGCAUCCGGGCCACUCGCUCCCAGCAGCACACACCCGUCCUCUCUGGCUCUCAGCCCCUCCGGAAGAAGCCUCGGAUGGGCUUCUGAGGACACAAGGUGGGCUGCCCUCAAGCCCCAGAGAGCCCCUCAUCCUUCCUCCGGGACCAGAUGUGCCUUCCACAGUUGAAACUUGAGAAGCAGAGCUCGCCACCUUCUAGAGGCCACUGUGAUGAUGAGCCAAGCAAUUUGGAGCCAAGUUGAAGGGACAGGGCAACAAAAUACAAUAGUAGUUUCUUUCGU